rnacentral:rRNA from 1 species
AAAUCAACCGAGAUUCCCCCAGUAGCGGCGAGCGAACGGGGAGCAGCCCAGAGUCUGAAUCAGCUUGUGUGUUAGUGGAAGCGUCUGGAAAGUCGCACGGUACAGGGUGAAAGUCCCGUACACGAAAGCACACAGGCUGUGAACUCGAAGAGUAGGGCGGGACACGUGGUAUCCUGUCUGAAUAUGGGGGGACCAUCCUCCAAGGCUAAAUACUCCUGACUGACCGAUAGUGAACCAGUACCGUGAGGGAAAGGCGAAAAGAACCCCGGCGAGGGGAGUGAAAAAGAACCUGAAACCGUGUACGUACAAGCAGUGGGAGCACCUUCGUGGUGUGACUGCGUACCUUUUGUAUAAUGGGUCAGCGACUUAUAUUCUGUAGCAAGGUUAACCGUAUAGGGGAGCCGAAGGGAAACCGAGUCUUAACUGGGCGUUAAGUUGCAGGGUAUAGACCCGAA